rnacentral:lncRNA from 1 species
UCAUCCUUGUUAAGUGAAGAUUUAGUCUGUUCAAGUCCUUCUUCAAAUCUGCUUCACUUCCACCUUCGUAGUCUCACUGCCACUGAGUAGGGGUGAAAACGAGUCGAAUCUCAGCGAAUACUCUAAUGCUCAGAUUCGGCUCGACUCAAAAAAAUUGUGCUCGAAUUCAACUCGAAUUCGAUAAGGAAUUUCUAAUUUUGCGCCAGAUUCGAUUCGGA